rnacentral:rRNA from 1 species
UGGGGAAUAUUGGACAAUGGGCGCAAGCCUGAUCCAGCCAUGCCGCGUGUGUGAAGAAGGCCUUCGGGUUGUAAAGCACUUUUGUCCGGGAAGAAAAGCUCUGGGUUAAUACCCUGGGGUUCUGACGGUACCGGAAGAAUAAGCACCGGCUAACUUCGUGCCAGCAGCCGCGGUAAUACGAAGGGUGCAAGCGUUACUCGGAAUUACUGGGCGUAAAGCGUGCGUAGGUGGUUCGUUAAGUCUGCCGUGAAAGCCCCGGGCUCAACCUGGGAAUGGCGGUGGAUACUGGCGGACUAGAGUGCGGUAGAGGGUGGUGGAAUUCCCGGUGUAGCAGUGAAAUGCGUAGAGAUCGGGAGGAACAUCUGUGGCGAAGGCGGCCACCUGGACCAGCACUGACACUGAGGCACGAAAGCGUGGGGAGCAAACAGG